CAGAGAGUAGUUUAACUUAGAAUCUUAGCUUUGGGAGUUAAGGGCGGGAGUUAAUAUCUCUUGUCUCUGA
rnacentral:tRNA from 1 species